UACGAAGGGGGCUAGCGUUGCUCGGAAUCACUGGGCGUAAAGCGCACGUAGGCGGAUUGCUAAGUCAGGGGUGAAAUCCUGGAGCUCAACUCCAGAACUGCCUUCGAUACUGAGAGUCUUGAGUCCGAGAGAGGUGAGUGGAACUGCGAGUGUAGAGGUGAAAUUCGUAGAUAUUCGCAAGAACACCAGUGGCGAAGGCGGCUCACUGGCUCGGUACUGACGCUGAGGUGCGAAAGCGUGGGGAGCAAACAGG
rnacentral:rRNA from 1 species